CGGUACUUUGUGGAAUGCAUGAGUCGAAGCAUAGUAUACUCAUGCAAUCCAUUCAGUGUUGC
rnacentral:pre_miRNA from 1 species